rnacentral:rRNA from 1 species
UACGAAGGGGGGCUAGCGUUGUUCGGAAUUACUGGGCGUAAGGCGUAUGUAGGCGGAUCUUUAAGUCAGGGGUGAAAUCCCGAGGCUCAACCUCGGAACUGCCUUUGAUACUGGGGAUCUUGAGUCCGGGAGAGGUUAGUGGAACUGCGAGUGUAGAGGUGAAAUUCGUAGAUAUUCGCAAGAACACCAGUGGCGAAGGCGGCUAACUGGCCCGGUACUGACGCUGAAAUACGAAAGCGUGGGGAGCAAACAGGG